rnacentral:lncRNA from 1 species
CAAAGGAUGAAGGGUCUGGCAUGAAUCACCCUAUAGUUAAGGUCCUUUGACUAGGUUGACUGUUGUUUGUGCUCAGUGUAUGCAUGUGUGUGUGUGCAUAGUUCUAUGUGUGUGCCUGGUGAGUGUGCCUGGAUGCCUUUGGAGUCCUGAUGUUUGCCCUAUCACUCUGCCUAAUUUCCUUGAGAGACUCUUUCACUGACGUGGGGUUUGCCAUUUUUUCAAUCAGACUGGCUGGACAGCAAGACUCUUGAGAGCCCCUGUUUCUGCUGACCCAUCUAUGGAAUUACAGGCAGGGGUGGCUUUUAUGUGGGUCCUGGGAUCCAAACCCAGUUUCUGCAGCACCUUAUGAAACCUCAUUGUGAAUGUUCACAAUGCUGGCAGUCCUCUCUUCUCACUAUACCUUCAUCAACUUCAUACGGAUGACAGAGUUUUCCAUCACUCCCUGUCCUGUCCUAACUUGGAAACUUCCAACACCAUGCCAAAGCAGGCAGAUGUCACUAGUGAUGCCAUAUCACAACCCUCAAGGCCUUCCUUCAGGUUGGAAAAUCAAAAUAUUACUCACCUUAGAAGUCAAUGGCCUCAAAGGCUCUAAUUAUGUACACUAAAUAUCCAUGUGGAUAUGAACACUGUGGAUUGGCUGUGGCUUUCAUGCAGGGACCUGGCCUCCUUUGCUGUCCCUCCACCCAGAGACACGGCUAGUUGAGCUGGAUAACAAAUAUCCCUGGUGGACAGAGACCUGUUGUGCUCUGAUUUUCCAGUUCGUUCUGCUGCACCACCCCUAGCACAGUUGCUGUCACCAGAGUCCUUUGUCACAGUACCUACUGCUCACAUCACACGGAGGCC